GUGGCGCAUGCCUGCCUACUCAGGAGGCCGAGGUGGGAGGACUGCUUGAGCCCAGGAGUUGGAGGCUGCAGUGACCCAUGAUCAAGUCAUAGUACUCUAGCCUGGGCAACAGAGUGAGACCCCGAUUCAAAAAACAUAAAAGAAGUCUGUUCUUUGGUUUUCAUAAAGACUGCACACAUACAAAGCUUACAAGCUUCUAGGAGUCUUUGUUUUAAACUGGAGAAUUGCAGGGAUGGUAGGGCCUUCACACAGACCACAGGCACACAACUCCAAGUCAUACCACAGAUGUCUGUGUUUUCAUGUCUUUUUGGUUGGCAUGGGGUGAGCGAGGUUCUCCUUGCCCAUUCAGGCCACACAGCACCAGCCUUCUACCCCCUCACCAGCUUCUCAGUCUCCCAUUCUCUCCCUCUGUCAUGCAGAUUAGUUUAUGUCCCAUGUUGCUUGGACAUCUUAUGACACUUAUGCCCUGAGCAGCGUAAGCAACAUGUUACACACACACACACACACAUGCCACAGUUCUUUCUCUACAAUGAACUCUGGGAGCCAUGGUAAAGGUAAUAUAGCUAAUAGCAUUCCUUCUCACCUUUCAGGAAGGACAAGGUUAUCUAGGACUGGGAGUGAAGGUUUCUGACAUGGCUCAGCCCCACAUCCUGCACUUCUUGCCCAUCCAGCAGGGUAGCCCAGGCCAGGAGCGCAGGCACGACCAGAGGCAAAUGUCCCACUCAGGAAUAUGCCCUAUGCCUCUCAGCAGGCGCCUGGACCGCCCAGGUGAGGCCUGGGAACCCCAAGUUGGGGAGGAAGGCGGCCCACCUGGAUGAAACUGUGCUUUUUGUCUUUGUUCUUCAUAAGCAUGGCACUCCGCCACUGCAGAACCCUCAGCUACCUCCUGUCACCUACCAGGCAGGACCGGGUCUGGCCUCCUUCCAAAUGCUGUGGCACCACCCCACAUGCCAAAGGCAAUUCUAGGACAUGCCCCAAGAACAGUAGACGCCACAGAGUCACAGCAUCUGGGCGGAUGGUCCUCCUCCCCCCACCAUCUGUUGGGGCCACUAUCUAGUUGUUGGAUGCCCCAGCUUGCCUGUUUGGGUGCAGAGUGUUAAGAAGUGCCCCUCCCGCCGGGGCGCAGGACCACAUGCGAGCUGCCACUGCCCACCUGGCUAGAGCCUGGAAGACCCGCCUCCGCUCAGUGUCUCGCAGGAAGAACACCGCCUGCUGCAGCAGCAGCUCCGUGGGCUGGAAGAGGUGCACGUGGUACAGGAUGGCCUCCAGGUCCCCAUAGAGCCGGCUGCGGAACAGCAGCUGUGAGUUGUACAGCACCUUGUAUUUCCUGUGUUCUGACCUGGGAAUCCUGCAAGAGACAGAAGGCCAAGAGCUAACUUGCAUGGCAGCUUCCUGGGACACCGUGGUGAGGGUGCGCUGUCAGGGAAAGAAUACAGACUAAAAUCCGCCAAGGGAACAAACACAUGGAGCAGAGUCCACGAUGGCUCCAGACACAAAGCUUCUACUGUCUUCUCGUGGAGCCAGAUGUGCUACCCUCCUAGCACUGCCACAGUAGCCCUUGGCUCAGAACCCUGAAGACAGGCCCCACUCUCCUGGACCCCUCAGUCAUCUUAGAUACUCCCGAAUUCCUCCCUGGAACCAAAGCCAAUCGAGUCUUCAAGUCCAAUGACUAAACCCUGGUAAGUACCUCACAAUGAACCCCGAAAGGAGACUCACAGACAAGGAUGCUAAACCUAGGCUUGGCUCUGAAAGACCUCUCCACUCCCUCGGCAUCCAGAUGCCAUCAUUUUUAUGUAAAAUGUAAAACAAACCACCUACCAGCUUUGGUGGUUCUCCCACAGCUGCCUCAAGCCUUGGUCGGCCAGGCCUUCCAGGAUGAAAAGGUGUGUCUUCCCGU
rnacentral:lncRNA from 1 species